rnacentral:rRNA from 1 species
UACGUAGGGUGCAAGCGUUGUCCGGAAUUAUUGGGCGUAAAGAGCUCGUAGGCGGUCUGUCGCGUCGGUCGUGAAAACUUGGGGCUUAACCCUGAGCUUGCGGUCGAUACGGGCAUGACUGGAGUUCGGCAGGGGAGACUGGAAUUCCUGGUGUAGCGGUGAAAUGCGCAGAUAUCAGGAGGAACACCGGUGGCGAAGGCGGGUCUCUGGGCAACAACUGACGCUGAGGAGCGAAAGCGUGGGGAGCGAACAGG